UACAGAGGUGGCAAGCGUUGUUCGGAAUUACUGGGCGUAAAGGGCGCGUAGGCGGUUGCCUAAGUCGGACGUGAAAUCCCCAAGCUUAACUUGGGAACUGCAUCUGAUACUGGGUGACUUGAGUUCGGGAGAGGAAUGUGGAAUUCCAGGUGUAGCGGUGAAAUGCGUAGAUAUCUGGAGGAACACCGGUGGCGAAGGCGGCAUUCUGGACCGAAACUGACGCUGAGGCGCGAAAGCGUGGGGAGCGAACCGG
rnacentral:rRNA from 1 species